rnacentral:rRNA from 1 species
UACGAAGGGGGCUAGCGUUGCUCGGAUUUAUUGGGUUUAAAGGGUCCGUAGGCGGAUCUGUAAGUCAGUGGUGAAAUCUCACAGCUUAACUGUGAAACUGCCAUUGAUACUGCAGGUCUUGAGUGUUAUUGAAGUAGCUGGAAUAAGUAGUGUAGCGGUGAAAUGCAUAGAUAUUACUUAGAACACCAAUUGCGAAGGCAGGUUACUAAGCAACAACUGACGCUGAUGGACGAAAGCGUGGGGAGCGAACAGG